rnacentral:misc_RNA from 1 species
CCAAGAGUGCCUUCAGGCUCUCCAACCCACUGUGAACAUACCUAAGUUCCCUCGGCGGGCUCAGCGCGCGGCGGUCCUCCCGGGCCCGCGCGUCCGCCGGGGGCCAGCAAACUCGAAUUUACUACGUGUAUCUCUGAGGGGCGAAAGCCCGUAAAACAAAAUGAAUCA